UACAGAGGCCUCGAGCGUUAGGCGGAAUCACUGGGCUUAAAGCGUGUGUAGGCGGAUCGUUAAGUACCUUGUGAAAUCCCACGGCUUAACCGUGGAACUGCUUGGUAUACUGGCGAUCUUGUGCCACCUAGGGGCGAGCGGAACAGAUGGUGGAGCGGCGAAAUGCGUAGAUAUCAUCUGGAACGCCAAUGGUGAAAACAGCUCGCUGGGGGUGUGCAGACGCUGAGACACGAAAGCCAGGGGAGCGAACGGG
rnacentral:rRNA from 1 species